ensembl:snRNA U6 U6 spliceosomal RNA
GUGCUCGCAUUGGCAGCACAUAUACUAAAAAUGGAACCAUACAGAGAAGAUUAGCAUGGCCCCUGCACAAAGAUGACAUGCAAAUUCGUGAAGCAUUCCAUAUUUUU